rnacentral:rRNA from 1 species
AUUGAACGCUGGCGGCAUGCUUUACACAUGCAAGUCGAACGGCAGCGCGGGCUUCGGCCUGGCGGCGAGUGGCGAACGGGUGAGUAAUGCAUCGGAACGUGCCCAGUAGUGGGGGAUAGCCCGGCGAAAGCCGGAUUAAUACCGCAUACGACCUGAGGGUGAAAGCGGGGGACCGAAAGGCCUCGCGCUAUUGGAGCGGCCGAUGUCGGAUUAGCUAGUUGGUGGGGUAAAGGCUUACCAAGGCGACGAUCCGUAGCUGGUCUGAGAGGACGACCAGCCACACUGGGACUGAGACACGGCCCAGACUCCUACAGGAGGCGGCAGUGGGGAAUUUUGGACAAUGGGGGCAACCCUGAUCCAGCCAUGCCGCGUGCGGGAAGAAGGCCUUCGGGUUGUAAACCGCUUUUGUUCGGGAAGAAAUCCUCUGGGCUAAUACCCCGGGGGGAUGACGGUACCGGAAGAAUAAGCACCGGCUAACUACGUG